rnacentral:rRNA from 1 species
UGGGGAAUUUUGGACAAUGGGCGAAAGCCUGAUCCAGCAAUGCCGCGUGUGUGAAGAAGGCCUUCGGGUUGUAAAGCACUUUUGUCCGGAAAGAAAUCCUUGGCUCUAAUACAGUCGGGGGAUGACGGUACCGGAAGAAUAAGCACCGGCUAACUACGUGCCAGCAGCCGCGGUAAUACGUAGGGUGCAAGCGUUAAUCGGAAUUACUGGGCGUAAAGCGUGCGCAGGCGGUUUGCUAAGACCGAUGUGAAAUCCCCGGGCUCAACCUGGGGAACUGCAUUGGGUGACUGGGCAGGCUAGAGUAUGGCAGAGGGGGGUAGAAUUCCACGUGUAGCAGUGAAAUGCGUAGAGAUGUGGAGGAAUACCGAUGGCGAAGGCAGCCCCCUGGGCCAAUACUGACGCUCAUGCACGAAAGCGUGGGGAGCAAACAGGAUUNGAUACCCUGGUAGUCCACGCCCUAAAACGAUGUCAACUAGUU